rnacentral:tRNA from 1 species
UCCCUAGUGGCUGAGACAGUAAAGCACCUGCCUACAAUGCAGGAGACCCGGGUUCAACCCCUUGGUCGGGAA